UGCCAUAUGUUUAUCAUAAUGUUAUUGUCCAAUGUGUAUAACAAUACCAGUGGUAUUAAAUGGUACCUAGAGUGUUGCUGAGUGUACAAAU